ACGACUGAGUUUUGUCAAUCGAGCUCAGUUAAGUGUAAAGAAACUAAGAUUGUCAAACAAUGAAAAUACAAUUUUUGAUUUUUGUCGGAAUUGUGUACAUUUUAUGUGCCAUUAAUUCGGCGUACAGUGCAAGAACGCCGGAAUAUUUACUACCUCAAAAUGAAUGGAUGCUGGAUCGUGAUCGCAGAUGUUUCAAUGAAGGUUACCAUCGCUGUUUGUUGAAUACGAGUCAACUAUCAUUUCAAGUUGUAGAAUGUUGUCCUGAAUUGAUUUGUAGCAAAGUGGAAGGAAAUAGUGAUGGAGAAACAGGAAAAUGUGUUUUGAAACCUAAUAAUUAAAUGAAGUUAUGCCGCUUACGAAUUGUUCUACAUUGAAUGCUAAUAAUUUUUUUUGAAAUAAUCAU